rnacentral:lncRNA from 10 species
CUUCUUGGCCUCCACAAUCACAUUCACAAAGUUCAUCAUGAUUCAGGAGACAAUUAUUAUACAGAUCCUCAUUUGUUCAGAUACAAAAGAAGGAGGGAAGAGUCCAUUGAUGUGAAUUUGAUAUCUCCUUGAGGCAGUGAUGUACUAAGCCUAUAGAAUCAUUACUAUCUCUCCAUGGCAGAAGUCCACUCCAUGACUAUUGAGUCUCCCACCACAGGGAUUAUAAAUAUUAUCAGCACAGCCCAAGAAAACACCCAAGUCAUGGUAACAGAAGCCUUAGAUAGGGUUUAAGAAAUUUUGCAAAUCACAGAACUGUCCUCUUCAUAGCUGACCACUAAAGAUGAAGACCCUCAAAACCAGUGAUCUUUCUAGAGGUCUGAUGACUGAUGCCUUGGGAAGGUUUUCAGGAAAUGAGUAUGAGUUUACUAUGAAUAUGCACCAGAGUUGCAGUCACCUUGUGAUGCCACUAACCAUCUAUAUCACCAAACCAUAUCACCAUCAAUGAUGAUCUCCUUUACAUUGCUUAAUUACUCGAUAAUAAAGAGAGUUAGGAUUUCAACAUCUUUAAAUUGGAGGUUGUUACACAUAAAAGGCCAUUGGUUGACCUGGGCUUAAAGGCCUUUUUCUGGUUUGGAAUAUGUGAAUUUUAAAACUGUUCUGAAACCCCUCUUCAGGCCUAGCUCCAAGUCAUUGAAGCCAACUACCACUUGUCCAAAGUCUACCAUAACUCCACCAUGCUGCAGACAUCCUGCAUGCCACUGCUGUCCUCCUUGGUAAGGAAAUAAUUCGGGUAGAAUUUU